rnacentral:rRNA from 1 species
UACGGAGGGUGCAAGCGUCGUUCGGAUUUACUGGGCGUAAAGGGCGCGUGGGCGGUUAGUUAAGUGUGAUGUGAAAUCCCCGGGCUCAACCUGGGAACUGCGCUUAUGACUGGCAAGCUAGAGUACGGCAGAGGGGGGUGGAAUUCCACGUGUAGCAGUGAAAUGCGUAGAGAUGUGGAGGAACACCAAUGGCGAAGGCAGCCCCCUGGGUCGAUACUGACGCUCAUGCACGAAAGCGUGGGUAGCAAACAGG